GAGCAGACGGUUAUCCCGCGGCAGCCUGGCCCGUGGCUGCAGAGGGAGUCAGUCUGCUAAAUGGAAGAGGGGAGGCCCUGCUGUUGUCCGGCCUGGCCGGGCGCCCGUGCGGGCUGCGGGUCUUCCCUACACCU
rnacentral:snoRNA from 1 species